ensembl:lncRNA
AGCACCUGCACGUCAUCAUUGUGUGGUUAUGAGUUCCUGACAUCUCCACAGUUUGCAGCUGGAGGGCAGUGGCACCUUGGGGUGGUGUUUGAGGGUCCCAGCAUGAGGGAAGAGAUGAGAAUCUUGACUCCUUGUUUCAGAAGGCUGAUUUGUUAUUUUAUGAUAUAUUAAAAGAAUAUAAUAUAUGUCAUAUAUAUUGAUAUAUAUAGCUUUAAUAUAUAACCAUAUAUAGUAAAGCUAUAUAUAUCAAAAUAUAUAUAACUAUAUAUUAAAGCUAUAUAUGGCUUUAAUUNGCUCCGGGCAGCAGCGCUCCCAGGGCCAGCAGGGCCACAACCAGGGCACAUCCUGCCCUCUGGGGACAUGGAAGGAAUGUCACCUUCAGUGUGGCUGCCACGGACGGGGAAGGAGCGGCCAGCAGCAGGAGUGCUGGCACAGCUGUGAGAGUCCCCCGGCCAUGGAGGUCACCGUUGUCCCCAGGGCUGCGAGGGGACCAGAAAGGGGAGCUGCCCUGCAAGGGGCUGGUGGGGCAGCCACUGUGGAGGAGCCAGGAGGGGACACGAGUGCUGGGAUCUGGUGCCAGGCCCAGGAGCCAAGGGGACAGAGCCAGGACUGGCCUGGCACUGCUGGGACACACCUGGGACACCUGUCACCGGUGCCACAUGGAUCUGCAGAGCACGGUGAGGUGACCUUGGGCUGGCACUGCUGCAGGUGGCAGGGACAGGCUGGGGUGGCUGUGCUGGCUCUGCUUUGCUGCUCCUGGGGUGAUGGCAGGGCCAAAGCCGGCUUCUGGAAGAGAAAAAGGUGAGGGAAUGGGAAAAGAGGGGGUUUCUGCAGUCUUGGCAGGGGCAGGGAGCCCGUGUGAGCCAGGAGCAGCUGGACAAGGAGAGAAGGAAAAUAACAACUUUAGAAGAAGAGAAACUGGAGCUGCUGGAGGUCAGAGCACUCCUGGUUUUCCAGAGGGGCCAGGAUCACACCGGAGGGGCCGUGGGAAGGAGCACACACAUCACACCCUGCCACAGCUCAGCCCCUUUUCCAGCAUCUCAUGGGAAACAUUCCUGCCUCCCAAAUUCCUACAGAGCCCAGCUGGAUUUAUCCACAGCGGGGUUUAUUGAGGGACUGAGGCUUUUAGGAGAAGAAUUUGUUGGGAAAACCACCCUUGUGGCCGUGGGCAGCCUGGGGUCAGUGUGUGCAGCUCAGAGGGUCCCUGGAGAGCCUGGGCAGAGGCAGGAGAGCUGGAAUGUUGGGAAGGGCAGAGAAACAGGCAGGGCUGGGGGCUGGGUGACAAUNCUGAGGCCUCUCAGCUUCUCAGGAGAAAAAAUCCUAAGGAAAGGAUUUUCCAUAAAAGAUGUCUGUGACAUUGGAGGCUCUGGGCUGAUCCCGAGGGUUCGGUGGAAGCUUUUCCUAUGGGGAAUUCCCGCUGUGGACAGGGAUGCUCUCUCUGCAGGGAUGCUCUGCCCCACUAGAUGGCAACUGCGCUCCGCACAACGCUCGGGAAGCUGCGGACGGGAUAAAAACCCUUCCCUGGAGAGCCGAGGUGUUUCCUCCUCCCGAAACGGCGGGAUCCAGAUGUGCAGGCACAGCGGCACCGCUGGAUGGUUUGGGUGGGCACAGCUGGCUCUGAUAUGCGUUCCUGGCACAUCCCAAAGGCGCCAGCCUCCCUUUCCCUGGGAAAGCUGCUCCUCCCAAACGCUGCCUUUGGGAUUUCUGCCAGCCUGAGCCGGGGGAUCUCUGCAGGAGCACGGAGGGGAGGAAGGGCUCCUGCCGGGGCUCAGAUCCACAGGAUCCUCCCCACAAUCCGUGUCUGAGAUCCACACCUUGGGUGGAACACCCUAAAGCCAAAGCCUGGGCCUGGGCUUGUCAGAGAAUCCUGGAAUAUCCUGAGCUGGAAGGGACCCAGCAGGAUCCUCCAGCCCAGCUCCUGUUCCUGCCCAGACCCCCAACAACCCCACCCUGUCCAUCCCUGGCAGUGCUGCCCAAAGGCUCCUGGAGCUCUGGCAGCCUCGGGGCCGUGCCCAUUCCCUGGGCAGUGCCCAGCAUGGGACAUCUGUGACCCCCAAAGAUGGAUAAGGAACAAUUUCCCCUUUUCUCUGGUGUUUCCAUGUCUCCAGAUCUCUCCCCAUCCACCACUUCCAUCAGGGCAGCUUGGCCCUGCUCUCAGGUGAGUUUGAGCAGAGCAGAUCUACCCCAGAGCACAUCCUCCAUCCCAGGGGAACUCCACAUGGAUCCUCCCCACACAGCCAAAGCAACGUGAGGAAAAAUCCCCUCCAUAAACCAGGAGAUUUCCACGUCCAGCCUCUCUGGGAGUUGCAGAGCAGGACACACUGCUGUCCUUUGUGUUCAUCCUUCAGAGCAGGACACACUCCUGUCCUUGCUGGCACCUCUUGGGCCACUCCUGCUGCACAGAGGCUGCUUUAACCCAGCUCAAUCCUGCUUGGAGCCAAAGCAGGAGGGAAUUGCACCCCACCCUCCAUGAUCCCCAUUCCUGCAGCACAGGGCAGGUGUUUCCCUGAGGUGUUCCCUCUCCCUGAGGCAUUGCUGGGUCCUGUGCACCUGGAAAAGGGGAAAAACAGGGCUGGGAAAGUGUGGAGCACUGCAGGAAUGGAUCCUGAUCCUCACUGGCAUUCAGGGUGGCUCACACGGAGGCCAAGGAGAAACCUGAGGCUGCUCUGACCUCCAGAGCAGGGGAGGGAGGCACCAGAGGAGCAGUGGCGCCUUCAGCGAGGUGACACGGUGACAGGAAUGUUAAUGCUGGCACAGCUCCCUCUCCCAGGUAGGAAGUGCUUCCAGCAGCACAGCAAAUCCAAUUUCUGCUGGAUACAAAUUCCACCAAGCAGCCAAAGCCUCAGUGAGACUCCCAACGAGGCUGGAAUUGAAUUCCAGCUGUGGGAGAUAGGGAGCAGCUCCAGCUGGGAGGAGAUGGGAGCCUGGGACAGGGGCGGGGAGAUUUUGGGAACACAACUGGGGCUCUUGGAGGAGGAGAAGAGGAUGGAGGAGAAACUGGAUCUGCCUGGGGGAGAGCAGGGGGAUGUGGGGCAAGCUGGAGCUGGGUCUGCCCUGGAUCCCUGGAAGUGGCCAAGGCCAGGGGCCACUGCUGCCUCCUGCCCUGCCUGGUGAGCAGCACGUGGAAUCAUGGAAUGGGUUGGGUGGGAAGGGACAUUAAACUCAUCCAGUGCCACCCCUGCCAUGGCAGGGACACCUCCCACUGUCCCAGGCUGGCCUUGGGCACUGCCAGGGAUCCAGGGGCAGCCACAGCUGCUCUGGGCAUCCACACUUCCUUCACUCAGGGCCUUUCUCACCCUCUGGUCGCUCCAUGAAUCCAGGAUCCCUGGGAUCUUGAAGCUGGACCCCAUCUUCAGAGCUGGAGCUCUGCUGGCCAGCAUUUUCCAGGAUACUCAGGGAAAUCAGGGAUCCAGGAUCUCAGGUAUACUCAGGGAAUUUGGAUCAUGCCUUCCCAAAUCCAAGCCUCCUAAAGCAUUUUUCCACAAGAACAAAGAGAUUUAGGGCUCAGAGGAUCCCAGCCUGUGAGCAUUUUCUACCCUUGCCUUCCCCUGGAUGCUGCAGCCAUUACAAACCCCAGCUCAUCCUGACAAAGCAGCACCCUGUGGAAGAAACAAUUCCUUCUCAACAUCCCGUCCAAAUCUCUCCCCUUUUAGUUUAAAACUUGCUCUUUCACCCUCUGCCCUUGUAAAAAUUACUCCUUCAUGAAUUCUUGGCUGCUGUUCCUGCAGGAUCUGGGUUACCCCAGUGGUUAUCCAGGAAAAAGGAGGCAGCAGAGAAAGGAGGAAUGGAUGGACCAACACGAUUUCAAGCCCUGGAUCCUCCAUGAGGAUCAUCCUCCACACCAUCCCGUGAUGGUGUUCACAGGGGUCUGAGGAUGAGGGAAGAGAUGAGGAUCUGACUCCAUGUUUCAGAAGGCUUGAUUUAUUAUUUUAUGAUAUAUAUUAUAUUAAAACUAUACUAAAAGAAUAGAAGAAAGGAUUUCAUCAGAAUGCUGGCUAAGAGAAAAAGAAGGAAUGAAUAACAAAGACAGUGUCCAAGCCAGCUGACUGUGAUUGGCCAUUAAUUACAAACAACCACGUGAGACCAAUCACAGAUGCAGCUGUUGCAUUCCACAGCAGCAGAUAAUAAUUGUUUACAUUUCGUUUUUGAAGCUUCUCAGUUUCUCAAUCUUCUCUUAAAGAAAAGAUUUUUUAUAAAAGAUGUCUGUGACACCAUCCACAGGACCCUGGAUCCCUCCAGUGCCCACUGGAAGUUCAGGCAUUGCCUUCCAGGGGAAUUUUCUGUCCCAAACACCCCUGAGCAGGAAGCUGGAAUAAUCCAAAGGGCAGAAUGAAGAGGGUCCAACUGCAGCAGAGAACCAGCUGCAGGUUUACAGGAAAAAGGAAUUUCCAGGAAUCCUCAGUGUGGAAACCUUGAUGGGGGCCAGGAAAUGUGGCUCCAAGGAUGUCUGGGUGGGUGAAGCUCUGAACAACCCGAGAAAAUAAAUGGUAACACUCGGGUGGUGCUCA